rnacentral:rRNA from 1 species
UCAAACGAGGCGAACCGGGGAAACUGAAACAUCUCAGUACCCCGAGGAAAAGAAAUCAUCCGAGAUUCUCCCAGUAGCGGCGAGCGAACAGGGAGCAGCCCAGAGUCAACAUCAAUAUUUACCGCAGGAGAAAGAUCUGGAGAGGCCGGCAAUAGAGGGUGAUAGCCCCGUAUCUGAAGCGGUAAGUGUUGUGAACUCGAAGAGUAAGGCGGGACACGUGUUAUCAUGUCUGAAUAUGCAUCGCACAUCCCUCCAAGGCUAAAUACCCCUGACUGACCGAUAGUGAACCAGUACCGUGAGGGACAGGCGAAAAGAACCCAGGCGAGCGGAGUGAAAUAGACCUGAAACCGUGUACGUACAAGCAGUAGAGCACCCGAAAAGGUGUGACCGCGUCCUUAGUAUAUUGGUCAGCGACUAUAUUUCUGUAGCAAGGUUAACCGCAUAUGGAGCCGUAGGGAAA